CAGCAGCCGCGGGAACACGAAGGGGGCUAGCGCUGUUCGGAAUCACUGGGCGUAAAGGGUGCGUAGGCGGAUUCUUAAGUCAGGGGUGAAAUCCCGAGGCUCAACCUCGGAACUGCCUUUGAUACUGGGGAUCUUGAGUCCGGAAGAGGUGAGUGGAACUGCGAGUGUAGAGGUGAAAUUCGUAGAUAUUCGCAAGAACACCAGUGGCGAAGGCGGCUCACUGGUCCGGAACUGACGCUGAGGCACGACAGCGUGGGGAGCAAACAGGAUUAGAUACCCCCCGUAGUCCCUGUCUCUUAUA
rnacentral:rRNA from 1 species